CCUCCAGCCAACUUGCAACCCAUCUGACUGUGUAGGUAUCGACGCCACAAUCUCGUAAUUUUUUAACGAGAACGGGCUGAGAGACAGUGUCCAAGGCUUUCCUAAAAUCCAGAAAGACUAUGUCCACCUUGGCAGACAGUAAUCA